UGAAAAAAGAAAGUACAAGAUCAACUCAGUGAGGUGGGUGGCAUUGCUAAAAUAAAGGGGAGGGAGAGGUGGAAAACAUGCUCACCACUGGGAAUUGAGGGCUUUAACAGGUGUAGAGGAAACGAGUCAGAUUAGUCUGAGACAGUCGAGAAAUCUAGAGGAAGCUUUGGCUAUAGAUUAUGUGGCUCUAAAUGAGAACCCCCCAGAGAUUUCCAAAAGCUUGGCUAAGUAGGUUAGCUUAAGAGAUGAUAGGAGAUGGGAAGUUUGAAUUCACUGUGGUCCUCCACAGAGGAGUGCAGGGAGGCUGGAAUUCCACCAGGAAAGCAGAUAUACAGCGAAUGCAGGUGCUCCACAGAUCUUUGGGGAUCAUAGUUUUCUACUAUGAUAGUUUUCUACUAUGAUAGUUUUCUACUUUCUAAGAGUGCAGAAACUUCACUUUGCGGCACAGACGUUGAGUCAUUGGGUUAAUGCUGUUUGGUUGUAAGAUAGCCUUUAAUCUACUCACAUUGGCACGCCCGUCACGAAUGCUGUGCUUGAUUUCUGCGGGUUAAGUAUCGAAUGGAUGGCGAUGUUGCUAAAACUGUGUGUCACGUGGACGAAAAAGCAAAGGACAUUGAACAUGCGAAGAAAGUGUCGCAGCAAGUCACUAAGGUUUUAUACAAGCAGAACUGGGAAGACACCAACGAUGAGUACCUGCGUCCCCCUGAUGCCCCUGAGCUUGUCCAGGCAGUUAAGAACACAGCCAUGUGUGGGAAGAAACUGUACACUGAGGACUGGGAAGCUGACAAAAGCUUGUUUUACGCGUACAACGAUAGCCCAGAGCUGAGACGGGUGGCCCAGGCCCAGAAAGCCCUCAGUGAUAGGAAAUACCAGGAAGACUUUGAGAAUAUGAAAGACCAGAUCUACUUCACGUAGACCGAAACACCAGAGUACAAAGUGAAUAAACAAGCUGGAGUGGCAGCUAGCAAGGUAAAAUACAAAGAAGACUCUGAAAAGAAUAAAGGAAAGCCUGAUUAUAAUGUACUUCCUGCCUCAGAGAACCCACUGCUCAAGCAGCUGAAGGCGGCAGGAAAUGCCCUGAGUGAUGUAAUAAGUUUGUUUCAAAAAGAAUUCACUGUUGCUCAGAAGAUUCCUGUCUGUUGCACCAUCAGUGAAAGACGAGUCUGAGUUGAGGGAGAGCGGAUGUAGCAGUCCUGAAGUACACACAAAUCUCCACAACUAAGGGCUUGGUCUGAGGAACCAUACAAGGAAAACUAUGAAAAGACCGAGGCAAAGAGCAUAAAUUACUGUGAAACCCCCAAAUUCCAACUUGAUACAGUUCUGCACAACUUCACUAGUGAUACCAAAUACAAAGAUUCCUACUUAAAGAAUAUUUUGGGACACUAUGUGGGCAGCUUUGAGGAUCCAUAUCAUACACACUGCAUGAAAGUUGCAGCUCAAAACAGCGAUAACAACUACAAAGCAGAAUUCGAAGAAGACCGAGGCAAAGGCUUCUUCCCCCAGAGUAUAACUCAAAAAAAUGAAACAAUCGAGAAGCUGGAUCCAUGUAAAGAUCACACCUACAAAGUCCAUCCAGAUAAAACAAACUUCACUCAAGUCACCGACUCUCCUGUGCUGGUGCAAGCCCAAGUCAAUUCCAAGCAACUGAGUGAUGAAAGCAUGAAAGUGAAAAGUUCAAGUGCCACAUACCUCCAGAUACUCCUGCCCUCCUCCAGCACAAAGUCAAUGCUUAUAACCUGAGUGAUGGAAGCUCCUAUAUACUAUGAGAGAUUAUAGAGGGGAAAGCUAUGAGAAGACAAAAGCAAAGAGCAGGAACUACUGUGAGACCCCUAAAUACCAACUUGACACUCUGCUGAAGAACUUCAGCGAGACUAAAUACAAACAUUCCUAUGUACAGAACGUCUUGGGCCAUUACGUGGGCAGCUUCAAGGACCCAUAUCAAAUACACUGCAUGAAAGUCUCCACUCCCAACAGUGACAUUAAGUUGAAGACCAUUGUUCCUGUCUCUCGAUGACAUUCUUUGGGGCAUACGUGGAAAGUUCAUCCAGAUAAGACCAAAUUCACGGCCGUCACCGACACUCCUGUACUGUUGCAAGCCCAACUCAACACGAAACAGCUUAGCGAUCUGAAUUACAAAGCAAAACGUGAAAGUGAGAAGUUCAAGUGCAGCGUACCAGCAGAUGCUCCACAGUUUAUCCAGCACAGAGUCAAUGCCUAUAACUUAAGUGAUAAUAUCUAUAAACAUGACUGGGAGAAGAGCAAAGCAAAGCAGUUUGACAUGAAAGUGGACGCCAUCCCCCUGCUGGCAGCCGAAGCCAACAGCAGGAUCGCCAGGGAUGAGAGUAUGGCCUGGGCACCCGGGCAGGGGACCCCAGUGACGCUGCCUGAUGGGUGGGAUCUGGCAUGUGUGAUGUUUUCAUAGGUGAUGUACAAGAAAGACUAUGAUAAAAGCAAAGGAAAGAUGAUUGGAGCCCUGAGCAUUAAUGAUGAUCCCAAGAUGCUGCAUUCUUUGAAGAGAGCCAAAAAACCAGAGUGAUGUCUUUGUAGAUCUAUCUUGCUUUCAAGGUGACGUCCCUCUUAAUAUGCCCAAGGGGUUGGUAGCGCGUAAAAGGAUUCCAUAUCCAUGGGCUCUAUCAUGUUCACAACAGACUGCUGGGAAUGAACAUUAGAAGUAGAAUGGUU